rnacentral:rRNA from 1 species
UACGAAGGGGGCUAGCGUUGUUCGGAAUCACUGGGCGUAAAGCGCACGUAGGCGGAUUUGUUAGUCAGGGGUGAAAUCCCGGGGCUCAACCUCGGAACUGCCUUUGAUACUGCAAAUCUCGAGUCCGAUAGAGGUGAGUGGAAUUCCUAGUGUAGAGGUGAAAUUCGUAGAUAUUAGGAAGAACACCAGUGGCGAAGGCGGCUCACUGGAUCGGUACUGACGCUGAGGUGAGAAAGCGUGGGGAGCAAACAGG